GAUGAACGCUGGCGGCGUGCUUAACACAUGCAAGUCGAACGAGAAUCAACGGAUUGAGGAUUCGUCCAAAUGAAGUUGAGGAAAGUGGCGGACGGGUGAGUAACGCGUGAGGAACCUGCCUCGGAGUGGGGAAUAACAGUUGGAAACGACUGCUAAUACCGCAUAAGCCCACGACCCGGCAUCGGGUUGAGGGAAAAGGAGCAAUCCGCUUUGAGAUGGCCUCGCGUCCGAUUAGCUAGUUGGUGAGGUAACGGCCCACCAAGGCAACGAUCGGUAGCCGGACUGAGAGGUUGAACGGCCACAUUGGGACUGAGACACGGCCCAG
rnacentral:rRNA from 1 species